rnacentral:rRNA from 1 species
UACGAGGGGUGCAAGCGUUGCUCGGAAUUAUUGGGCGUAAAGGGUAGGUAGGUGGUCUCAUUUGUCUGGGGUGAAAGCCUUGAGCUUAACUCAAGAAGUGCCCCGGAAACGGUGAGACUAGAGUCUUGGAGAGGGUCGUGGAAUUCCCGGUGUAGCGGUGAAAUGCGUAGAGAUCGGGAGGAACACCAGAGGCGAAGGCGGCGACCUGGACAAGUACUGACGCUGAGACGCGAAAGCGUGGGGAGCAAACAGG